rfam:Amborella trichopoda AMTR_V1.0_contig_4544, whole genome shotgun sequence.
CAUGGGUUUGUGGUUUAUUCCAUCUCUUGCACACUGGACCAGUGCUUCAGCAACUGGUUGGUGUGCAGGGGGUGGAAUAUGGCACCCAUCCAUG